GAUGAACGCUGGCGGCGUGCCUAAUACAUGCAAGUCGAGCGAACAGACGAGGAGCUUGCUCCUCUGACGUUAGCGGCGGACGGGUGAGUAACACGUGGAUAACCUACCUAUACGACUGGGCUAACUUCGGGAAACCGGAGCUAAUACCGGCUAAUAUCUUGAACCGCAUUGUUCAAUAGUUAAAGACGGUUUUGCUGUCCCCUAUUGUUGGAUCCGCGCCGCAUUAUCUAGUUGGUAAGGUAACGGCUUACCAAGGGGACGAUGCGUUGCCGACCUGAUAGGGUGAACGGCCACACAGGAACUGAGACACGGACCAGACCCCUACGGGAGGCAGCAGGAGUGAAUCUGCCGAAAGGGGCGAAAGCCUGACGGGGCAACGCAGCGUGAGUGAUGAAGGUCUUCGGAUCGUAAAACUCUGUUAUUAGGGAAGAACAAAUGUGUAAGUCACUAUGCGCGUCUUGACGGUACAUAAUCAGAAAACCACGGCUAACUACGU
rnacentral:rRNA from 1 species